rnacentral:rRNA from 1 species
AUUGAACGCUAGCGGGAUGCUUUACACAUGCAAGUCGAACGAGUGGCGGACGGGUGAGUAAUAUAUCGGAACGUGCCCAGUAGCGGGGGAUAACUACUCGAAAGCGUGGCUAAUACCGCCUACUAUAGGAGCGGCCGAUAUCGGAGUAGCUAGUUGGUGGGGUAAAGGCUCACCAAGGCAACGAUCCGUAGCCGGUGUGAGAGGACGACCAGCCACACUGGAACUGAGACACGGCCCAGACUCCUACGGAAGGGAGCAGUGGGGAAUUUUGGACAAUGGGGGAAACCCUGGUCCAGCCAUCCCGCUAGUAUGAGAGGGCCUUCGGGUUGUAAAGUACUUUUGGCAGAGAAGCGGUAUCUGCAGAAUAAGCACCGGCUAACUACGUGCCAGCAGCCGCGGUAAUAC